UAUAAUAAACAGAGUAAAGUGUUUACAUGACUAUUGCAUAAUCUGCCUACUGCCAUAACUUGUAACUUUAAUAUUGAGGUAUGACUGUACAUGUAAAGGUAAUGUAUUUCGCUGCAGAUAAUUCAAAAUACACAAUGAAAAAAUAUAUCAAUGACUGAGCCCCUUGCUGUAACCCUGUUAGUUUGAGCUCAUGUGUCUGUUCUGUGUCCACGUUAAAGAUUCAAGAGCUGUGUACAGUAGGAGGAAACGUAUACAGUAUGUGAGAACACAGGCAUGUACCCUUUAGAGAACACCAUGUAGUUGGUGAGACGGGUCAGCACUGGAGAGAGGAAGCUGGAGUCCUUGAGGAGCUGUGUGGGAGACAGCAUGGCGAUCAUCCAACAGAACAACAAUAAGCAGUCAUAAUGCCCAGAGAACAGUCAGAUAAUCCAGAAUAUCCACAGUAAAUGUUGACUAACCUUCUGAAGGAAUCUGGGAUGGUGUGUUUCUGGGAAUAUGCCUGUUCAAGAAAAAAUGUUUUUUACUUACAUUAAAUAUUUCAUAACCAAACAUGGCAAGUUAACAGUAAGACAAAGGCUAUCAAAGCAAUAUGUCACUUUGUCAUGAAGUUGUUGACCGGUAAUCUACUUUGUACACAUAUGAAGAGGUCCUUGCUAUGAUCCUUGGGGCGUUUAAAAUGGUAGGGGUUUAGGGGAACAAUGAAAAAAUACAGUGGAACUGGCUUCGAGGUCCAGAGUUGAGUUUGAGGGGGUAAGAGUUUAGGGUAGGGACAUCAAGGAUUCCGGAUAGCACUAACCCAUAGGAAACUAUUGCGGUAUAGUGUGUAUCACUCGGAGUAGAGGAAUUUGUAAGAACACAAAAUCACUGAUUUGAAUGAGGGGUUAAACCAAGGGUGAGCAACUCUGGUACUGGUGAGAAGCAGGGUGUGCAGGAUUUAGUGGAAAAAAAUAGUGAAUUGGGCUGCCUGUGUAAAUGCAGUCUUAGUAAAAAAUAAAAUAAUAAAUCGGACAAGACAGGUGAGUUUACACCAGCUGCCCAUCAUUGUCUAAUCAGGCUCUGAUUGGUUACAGGUUGUCUGCUAGACACAACAUAUAAAUACUCUCAAGUCUUUUCUCCUCACUUCACCAGUACUGUUCAUUGGCUAUCAUAGCUGCUAGUACUGGCUCAGGGUGCCUCCUUGCUUUGUUGAGCUGUUCAUUGCUCUCCUUAUCAACAAGUUUAUAGGACUGUCUUUCUCCACCCUCUUCGAGCACAGCACUAGUCGUCUAUGAGCACGGCACUAGUCGGAGCGACACUGACAAGCAUAUGCUGCCCCCCUCUCCUCCUGAGACUGGAGGCUCUAUUCCCAUUCCAUACCGACUAGCUCGUGUCAGCUCCAGCAGAAACCAGCAGGUUCAGGAAGAGCCUGAAGCCUCCCAGAGCCUGGUGUGGAGUCUUUCCAGUGUGGAGAAGACCCUUUACUGCACCAUUGGGCCCCCGGCUCUAUCAAGAUUCCUUGGCAUGAGCAGAACAACCAGGAACCAGCAUUCUUCCCAGGCUAAGGGUGGUGUCUGGUUGGAGUCUUCCCAGGGUGUAUUUGUCUGGGUACCAUCAGUACGGUCACUACAUGGCUACUAGGUAAGGUUACAUCUUUCAGAUGUGUUGCAGCUUUAACACGUUUUAUUUUUCUAUUCCUGGCUCAGCAGGUCUGUAUUAACCUGGAUCCUGAUAUCAUUUGGCUAUGAUGCUCUACAACUUUGAAUAAGUUACUUUAAAAAUGUUUUUGUCUGGCUUGCUUUGUCCAUUUAAAUGGUACAUUUUACUUAAGUAUGGUUUGUGCUACCUGUAGCCAAUCAGGAAAAGGUCUGAAACUGUACUCUACCUCCAUUGGACAGACAGAGGCUGUUGAUGGUCAAGUGUCCAGUCCUGUUGUGGUCACUCCUGUGAGAUGCAAAGAUGGGAUCAGUCGGGAAAAGCUAUAACAUCCACCAUAUUUCACCUUUCCUGUGUUGUUGGGUAAUGGAAGGGAAAUCACUAGACUAUUGAGAUGUAGACCUAUUAUGUUAGUGCUUUCAGUGAUGAGGGUUCCUCCAGGAUUGGCUUCCAAGCCCAACCUUGACCAUUAGUGGGGGAAAUACAAACUGGCAACUUCGUGCAGCAGUGCUGAGCUCACCUGUAGAGCAGUUCCAGGGCCACAGUGUCUCCAUAGUCAUGGGAGAGCAGGUUAACCCUCUGCUCCAUCAGACCCAGGUGGGACACCAACGCCUCCACAACACUGGCCUGCUCAAAGAUGGAGUAGCGGUGGGGCCUCUGUCAGGGAGAAAUGUCAGUAUAGAUUCCCUGGCAUUCUAACCGAUGCCUCAAAGACCGUUUCGCCCACAAUUCAAGUCUGUCAUAGCCUGCGACUCACAGGUUUGUCACUGAAGCCAAAACCAAGAAAGUCCAGAGCAAUGACACGGUUAAAGCGCCGAUUCAGGGGCUCCCAUAUCUGUAAGACAAACACACCUGGCAUUCAGACACCUGUCCAGAUACCUGGGUCAUGUUCAUAAGGCACAAAAAAGACAUGAACCUAGGCACUACCUGACCUCCAAAAAGGGAUGCUUGUUUUCAUGUCCGGUUGCAAAACAAUUUGCUACGGUGUGCCCUAUUGAACAUGGCUCUGUUCACAAUAUACCAUCUGAGUGUGCAAUAAUGGAAUAAGAAUUAUCCCAGCAAACCAAUUGAUCUGUGCAUAACAUUUUAUAGAUAAGCCCCUUUCUCUUAUCAGCUUACCUUGUACCAGUCCAGGCUGGAGGUAGGGAAGCCAUGGAGGAGAAUGACCACAUCAGAGCUGCCUACAGCACCAUAGGUCUCUGGUAGAGGAAAAAGUAAAGCAUACAUUGUUCAUCACGUACCAUGAAAAUGUUACAUGGGUCAAAGGGAUAAAACUGGUGCUUGGAACUUGCCAUUGUAAAGUGCAAAUGAUGACUGAUCUAAACAUGGGCUCUAACUUGUAGCAGUCCAGACUGUUCCCUGUACUGAUGAAGGCGCCUCUAGAUGACUACAGUAAUCUGCAUCUCUAAUGUAAUGAGAUGUUUCUUUAUUCCACCCACAUUCAUGUGACAACUGGACAGGUGAAAAUAAAUGCUUUCCCCGCUCCUGUCAAUUAAAUGUGCUUUAUUGGCAUGACUUAACAAAGUACAUAUUGCCAAAGCUUACUUUAGAGAUUUACAAUAUUAACAUAAUUAAAAUAAUAUUGUCAACGUGACAACAAUAAUCAACGGUCAAAAUAACCAUACAGUGAAUAAUAACAAUGGCAUAGAGGACAUGUGUGUGUUGGUUGGUUUGUCAGACACUGUCCCUCAUUUUAUGGCAGGCAGCAAUGUAGUGUGCUGCCAACCCACAGCUCUCUGCUUCCUCCCCCAACAGGAU